rnacentral:rRNA from 1 species
UACGGGGGGGGCAAGCGUUGUUCGGAAUUACUGGGCGUAAAGGGCUCGUAGGUGGCCGACUAAGUCAUACGUGAAAUCCCUCAGCUUAACUGGGGAACUGCGUCUGAUACUGGAUGGCUUGAGUUUGGGAGAGGGAUGCGGAAUUCCAGGUGUAGCGGUGAAAUGCGUAGAUAUCUGGAGGAACACCGGUGGCGAAGGCGGCAUCCUGGACCAAUACUGACACUGAGGAGCGAAAGCCAGGGGAGCAAACGGG